rnacentral:lncRNA from 1 species
UCGUUUGAUGUGUAUAACACAAUUGAAAUAAGUUUCAAGAGAGAUAGUGGGAGUUUAGGGACCAUGACUAUUAUAGUCAAAGGAGAAGUCAAAUGAAGAAGGGGAAAUAACUCCAAGGGAACAAACUUUCUUUAUGAAAGGAUGGACAUUGGAAGGGGUAUUUGCAAGAAAUGUCUUGCAAGUGUCAAGAACACACCUUUCGAAGGUGUUGUAAAUUGUUCUUGAAAAGUUCAAAACAGUUGGUUCUUCUACUUGAAUGCUUGAUUCCGUAUUGGUAACUAUGUUUUACAAUCGUUGUAAAAGUGUGGCUAAUAAGAAGUAGAAGAUUAAUGAGAGAAGAGAAAGUACUUCACAUUUGGAACGUGAAUCAAAUGUAGAUCUCUGCGAAAGCAAAUCAUACUUACUUCCUCAUAUGAACUACCAAAGAAAUUGGAAAAACCAAAGAUUGUCUUUACAUUCCAAUUUUAAGGAACUUAAUUCCAUCACUAUGAGAGAUGGAUGAAUGUUUUGUUUGACAAAACAUUGUUCUUUAUUAAUGAAUGAUUAGAUUA